UAAGGAAUAUUGGACAAUGGGCGGAAGCCUGAUCCAGCCAUCCCGCGUGCAGGACGACGGCCCUCUGGGUUGUAAACUGCUUUUGGAAGGGAAGAAACCUAUGCCUGCGGGCGUAGCUGACGGUACCUUCAGAAUAAGCACCGGCUAACUCCGUGCCAGCAGCCGCGGUAAUACGGAGGGUGCAAGCGUUAUCCGGAAUCACUGGGUUUAAAGGGUGCGUAGGCGGCUUUUUAAGUCAGUGGUGAAAUUCUACCGCUUAACGGUAGGGGGUCCAUUGAUACUGAGAAGCUUGAAAAGGGUUGAGGUAGGCAGAAUGUGGCAUGUAGCGGUGAAAUGCUUAGAUAUGCCAUAGAACACCGAUUGCGAAGGCAGCUUACUGGACCGAUUUUGACGCUGAGGC
rnacentral:rRNA from 1 species